rnacentral:rRNA from 1 species
UACGAAGGGAGCUAGCGUUGUUCGGAAUCACUGGGCGUAAAGCGCACGUAGGCGGAUGUGUCAGUCAGGGGUGAAAUCCCGGAGCUCAACUUCGGAACUGCCUUUGAUACAGCACGUCUUGAGUCCGGAAGAGGUGGGUGGAAUUCCUAGUGUAGAGGUGAAAUUCGUAGAUAUUAGGAAGAACACCGGUGGCGAAGGCGGCCCACUGGUCCGGUACUGACGCUGAGGUGCGAAAGCGUGGGGAACAAACAGG